UACGGGGGGGGCAAGCGUUGUUCGGAAUUAUUGGGCGUAAAGGGCGCGUAGGCGGUGCGGUAAGUCACCUGUGAAAUCUCCUGGCUCAACUGGGAGCUUGCAGGCGAAACUGCCGUGCUGGAGUGUGGGAGAGGUGCGUGGAAUUCCCGGUGUAGCGGUGAAAUUCGUAGAUAUCGGGAGGAACACCAGUGGCGAAGGCGGCGAUCUGGGAAGAUACUGACGCUGAGGUGCGAAAGCGUGGGGAGCAAACAGG
rnacentral:rRNA from 1 species